AUUGGUCUCCGUCGUAAGAAAUCCCGAUAGCUUUGGUCGGCGACUCGGGGUGAAAGAACCCACUUUGGUGGGUUUUUU
rnacentral:sRNA from 1 species